AGACCAGGGUGCCGUUUUAUCAACGGUCGUACGCCCGGUCGUAGCUAAGAUUUGGUCGUACGACCGAUCUUACGGCUACGUCGCGUUUUAUCAACAUGGUCGUAGCUUAGACGUCGUAGAUUUUCGUCAUAACUUUAAGGCUGCUUCAGACCAGUCGUAAGUAGGCUUAAGAUCUUAAAAAUGGCGGCCAUUUUUGCAUAAUUCCCGAUAGGAACUUUCAAACACAAAUAUUUGAACAAUUGAAGUUUUCAACUAACGUAGGUUUUCCGCGUACAUGUUUAUGUACAGUGCUGAUUCUAUUUUAACAUCCCAGGGACGCAACUAUCACUUCCAGAUUAAUCUCCGGAUAAUUUCCACGAAGAAGCUAUGACCUUUCAAUGAAGUUGCUACAGUAUUUAUGUGAAAGACAAGUGUAAAUAAUGUGAAAUCAACAUGGCAACAUUAUGUUAACCUACAGUACAGUGCUGUAAUGGGAAUGCAAAUGAAACUGCAGCACUGUUGUUUGGUAAAGCAUGUACAUGUUUGCGAAAUGAGCAUCUUUAGAUCCAAUUUGGUGUAUCACAUGAAAAGAGGAUUGUAAACAAAGGACAAGUAACUUGUGCAAAUUGCAAUGUUAAUUAUUUGAUUUUAAGUCAGAAUAUUCUCUGUAAUGUUUCAGAUUACUGCUGAAUGAUGGAAGGUUUACAGCUAAACAAUCUUAUGAUUGGAAUCAAUAUCCAGGGACAGCUCUCCCUUACAGGGUCCAAGUGUUGUGACCUUGUUAUAUGGCCAACAAAGGGCAUAUAAGUCCUAAAGAUAGUUAAGAAUAAAGUUAUAUAGACUAUCAAACAUUUCAUCAAUUUACCAAUAUCUGUAAGAUAAGGUACAUUAUGUAUAAUUUAAUACAUUCCAUAAUAACAUGCACAUGAAUAAAAAUAACACUUAAGUAUGGUCACAAAGGGACAGUCAGUGAUCUACAAUUAUUACCCUGAAUGCAUGUAAGAAGCUUUAUGUGAAUGCUUUUAAUGAUUAAUGAAAACAUAUACAUAGGUUAAGGUCUUUAAGUUGUUUUUGAAUAUAUACUUUGGAUGGUACAUGUAUGUACUGACUAUAUAUUCACUUGUCUUAAGUGUCAAAACUAUAUAUAGCUAUUCAUGUAUGUCAAAAUCAAAUAUGUAUAUUUCUUGAGGUGAUAACUUUACUGAAUCAUUCUCUUGAAUAACAUUAUGAAAUUCAAAACUUGAAAGGAAUACACAGCAAAAUGAUGUUCUUCUCUGUAUUCAAUUGGAUUAAAGUGACUUUGAAAAAAAGAUUUAUGUGUUACAAUUCAUAACAUGAGAUAAAUCAAUGUAACAUAUGUGUUUAUAUUGAUAUUUAUUGAUUUAUUGUUACUUGAAUGCAUUAAAAAUUGUUGGGAUGAAUAUUAAAAACACAAAGAAAAUAACACAAAAGGGACACUAAUUGAAAUAAACAAUUGUAAUACAGAAUUCCCUGGAAGUGACAUUUUAUCUUUAAUGUGCUAAGGUUAUAAUCAUCUUUGUCUUAACUGCUCUUGUCUGAAUAGUACCUUGUGUCUGUUAAAACAUAUUAUUUUUAUAUUGUUAUCUACUUUCAAGAUUGUUUUCUAGUAGAUAUGUAAAUAAAUUCUCAACAGGUAUCAUAAAAAAUUAAUAUGAAUUAGAAAAAGUUGUAACAUGUCAUUUCAAUGUCAUAAUUUACUGUCCUAUAUUUAUUUAUUGUCAUACUGGAAUAAUAAUAAAUGACUUUGUAACAUUCCAACACUUUCUGUUCUGUAGAUACCUUCACAAAUCAGCCAGCCAUACUAGGAUCCUGCCUAUUACCGGACAAAAUAUGUUUUUUCGCCGUAUUUUUCUUUUAAAUAAUAAAAAAGAAUGGAAUUUUACCCAAAUAAUUUUGGGUUUUUAUAACACGUAAACAUUACUUAAUCGGACAUAAAAUUAAAAAUUUGACCGUAGAAAUGUGUCUUUAAAGUAGGGCAUUAUAAGAGAAAAAAUCGUGUAGACAGCUCAAUUUACCGCGGACAUUGUGUUUCAAAAUAUUUUGAAGUCGUGAAUUUAAAUUUGU